AAUCAGUUGCCCAUGAGAAGCCUGCAAAAAGAACUUGAGUGCAACAACACUCUUCCUCCUUCUGAUUCCCAGGAACUGGCUGCCUUCAGCUCUAACCAGGUGGAGAUUGAAUCUUACCUGUAGACAGCAACUUAUAAUGCAAAUGCUUUAAUAUGAGCUUACGCUUCAUUUUUGAAAUAGUUUUGGAGCGAGUAGAAUUGGCUCAGACACCCAUCCUUCAAAAGCAGACAUAUUUAGUGUGCUGUGGAAUGUUGAUUUCUUCCAGCAGAUGCUACAGAUUAUGGCUUGUCUACUCCAUUUACAGAACCGGGGAUAAUAACCUGUGAACUUCUUAUAACAUGUCACUUAUUUGAACAAUGAAGGGGUGGAUCAGAGGACAGAGAGAGACACCAGCUCCUUUGAAGGUGAGUUGUUUUUGGUCCAAAUCUCUUUCUAACUGUGAUAGUUGAAUGUAAGGACAAUAACACUCUUUACCAACCUUGUGCCCUCUGAGAUUUGGGGACUCAUGAUCCCUUGUCAAGAGUCAAUCUGGCUGGGGUUGAUGGGAGCUGUGUAUUUCCAAACAUUCAGAAUGGGUAAGGCUCCAAUAGUAGUUUUUUCUCUGGUGGUUAUACCAUGUGAUCCUAUGAAGGAACACAGUGACAUGAGAAUCACACAGUAACCAGCAGGGAGCUUUGGAUUAAACAUGUUGAAAUCCCUCAUCACACUGAGAGCCAGUGUGGUGUAGUGGUUAAGAGUGUUGGGAUACUGCCAGGGAGACAGAGGCCAUCAUGGUUCCACGUCGUCUCCGGACGAUCCAUCGAUCUCCUGUAGAUACAGUAUCAGUCAAUUAGCGACACGAAGCCUCAGAAAUAGCUUGCCACAUUCCAGAGCUCGUGCACGCUCUAUCAGCAGAGUUCGCACAACGAAAGGCGCACUCAGGAGAGCAUUAUUUACAACUUUAUUCAGCGUUGAUCAGAACAAAGAAAAAACAUGACUGCCUGCUUCGAUGUCUCAGGCACAGAGAGAGAAAACAACAGCUAUAGACAAAACAGAAACUUCCUGUGAACAGGAAAUACACAGACUCUGUGACUCACAAAGCCUGCUCCCUUUUAAGGUGGAACGGAAAUAUCCUAACAAAGAGCAGUAGACUCGUAAUCUGGGGAACCGGGUUCGCAUCUCCGCUCCUCCACAUGCAGCUGCUGGGUGACCUUGGGCUAGUCACACUUCUUUGAAGGCUCUCAGCCCCACUCACCUCACAGAGUGUUUGUUGUGGGGGAGGAAGUGAAAGGAGAAUGUUAGCCGCUUUGAGACUCCUGAAGGGGAGUGAAAGGCGGGAUAUCAAAUCCAAACUCUUCUUCUUCUUCUUCCUUCAGGUAGUGAUAAAGCAGGAUAUCAAAUCCAAACUCUUCUUCUUGUUGUUGUUUUCACAAGUUGAUUUCAGCCUUUGGAUAAAGCCCUUGGAAUCUUGUGUAAAUGAACCUUUGGGUACUAAGUACAUGACACAGAAAAUGCUGCAAAUUAUUAUUAUUAUUAUUAUUAUUAUUAUUACCCCGCCCAUCUGGCUAGGUUUCCCCAGCCACUCUGGGCGGCUUCCAACAAAGUAUUAAAAUACAGUGGUCUGCUGAACAUUAAAAGCUUCCCUAAAGAGGGCUGCCUUCAGAUGUCUUCUAAAAGUCUGGUAGUUGUUCUUCUCUUUGACAUCUGGUGGAAGGGCGUUCCACAGGGUGGGUGCCACUACCGAGAAGGCCCUCUUCCCUGUAACUUGGCUUCUCGCAGUCAGAGAACCCCCAGAAGGCCCUCGGCGCUGGACCUCAGUGUCCAGGCAGAAUGAUGGGGGUGGAGACCCUCCUUCAGGUAUACUGGACCAAGGCCGUUUAGGGCUUUAAAGGUCAGCACCAACACUUUGAAUUGCGCUCGGAAACAUACUACAAAUAACUAUAUAACAAUAAUGGUUGACGGGUGUUGGGUAUGUUUAGCCUGGAGAAGACAAGACAGAGAGGUCUUAUGAUAGUCAUCUUCAAAUAUCUGAAGGACUGCCACAUGGAAGGUGGUGCAAGCUUGUUUUCUGCAUCUACAGAGGAUAGGACUCGAACCAUUGGUUCGAGUUAUAAGAAAGGAGAUUCCGACUAAACAUUACAAACUACUUUCUAACGCUAAGAGCUGUCUGGCAGUGGAAUAGACUCCCUCAGAUGGUGGCAGACUCUCCUUCCUUGGAGGUUUUUAAGCAGAAGAUGGAUGGCAAUUUGCCAUGUCUUAUCUAACUGAGAUUCCUGCAUUGGAGAGGUUUGGACUAGAUGAUCGUUGAGAGUCUCCUCUAAGUCUACAGUUCUAUGAUUCUUUGAACUGAGAUGCAGAGGCAAUUUGGUCAGCUUGCAGUUGUCAGGAAAAGCCUCAUACUCUCCUGAAGCAGUCCCCACUGAGCCACUGCCACAUGCCAGUCUGCCUUCAUAACAGGAAUUGCCAACUUCUGGCGACCCAUAGGCACAUAUGGUCAGGACCCAUAGGCACAUAUGCAUGCAGGAGCCAGGCCCUGUGACCAGUAGGACUUUGCAGGACUAGGGCCUUCCUAAGUUUGUUCUGAAGAGGCAAGGUGCAGCCGCACAGGUGAGGCCGAUUGGUAACUCACAGCACCAGGUGGCAAGAGCUGGGAAGGAAUAUAAGGUCAGCAUUUCCCUUCGGCUCUUUGCCACAGCAACACGCUCCCUGCCUUGCUGCAUUUGGCUCCUUGACUCCUUGCUUCUUGAUCCUCCGACCCCUGACUUUGUGACUCCUGGCUCUCCGACCCUUGGACUCUUGGCUUCCUGACUCCUGGCUUCUGGACUCCCAUUCCUGCUCCCACCCUACCCCUGGGUCCAGACGACCCCAGCUGGGACUUUGAUCGCCCAUGAACCAGACCGUGACACAUAUGCAACACCAGAGGGGCUGAAUUACACACCACACACAGACCCUGCAACCAAUUCCAUUAGCUACCAUAGAAUGCUUCUUUUGAGUCUAACUUGCAGAGGGAGGAGAGAGAACGCUGUGGGUACCAGGGAAGGCUUCUGCAGGUGCAUGGGCAUGCGCCCACGGGCACCGUGUUGGUGACUCCUGCUCCAUAAUACGCAGCGCAAGAGGAGGUGGAAAUGCUGGUUAAAUGCUCACAAACUUGACAAAAAUAAGGGUGGUGGUUUUUUUUUUCACUGACUCAAAACUAGACCCACAGCUGAGCUCUACAUAACCAAAUGAUCUAAUUUCCAAGUAGGAGAAAAAUCUCCAUGGCAUUCUGUACAAUCCCCAUGAAAAAAAGUUGUUUUUUAAAUAAUGAAAGCCAACUAAUGAAAUGAGUAUUUCACAGCAAAGGCCCUGCCUAGAAUUCAUUGGGGUAAAAGGGAUGAUAGUGUCUUUCCUUCGUGGAAAUACUGACAAAUGUCUAGACUUUUGAAAGAAGGACUCCAGAGGAAGAGAUAAGUACCAACUUAGCUUUCUGUUAUAAAAACAAAGCUGAAAGACAUUCAAAUGUACAAAAGAAGCAAGAUGUAAUGAUUUAGCAAUUUAGCAAUUGCUACGAGUGCUCUUUAAGGCGAAAUGAUGCAGACGCAGGGUUUCCCCCCAGCUGCAAGCAUCUGGAAUAUUUUUUUAGUCCUUUGAAAACAGUCGUACUUGAGAGAAUUAUGUCUAUGGUUAGAUCACACGAGCACCACUCUAUGAGCACCGGAACUCAGAUCCACUUGCAGGUCCUACUAUUCAUAUGCUUUGAAAUGGAUCUCUGGAUUCAUAAUAGCUAGGAAUUUCCUUUUGCUAACCAAUGGAAACUGAAAAUCUGAAGAUUCAUCAGCAGGUAUGCAAAAAGCAAAGCUUGACCCAUAAGGAAAAUUCCAGGUUGGUGCAGAAUGUCAUGGCUAAAGAAGUGCAGAAAGACGAUUCUCCGUAUUGAUUUGUUGCACCUUGAGAUCUUCAUAGCAAAAAGGAUGUUUUCCAAUAAAUAAUAAUAAUAAUAAUAAUAAUAAUAAUAAUAAUAAUUUAUCAUUUAUACCCCACCCAUCUAACUGGGUUUCCAUUACUAAUGGUUUAGUAAUGCUAAUAAUAUUUUAUUAUCCAUUUAAUUUGUGAAAUCUUGAAGUGAUUCAUCAUCAUCAUCAAUGAAAAUGAUGCAUUAAGACAAUUUCAAAUCCAGUGCAAACUGGAAUAAGAGCCUCCGCUUGAAAGGCUUGUAAAAUGAAGGUCUUUGGUAUGUGAUGAAAAGAUAAUAGACAUGCCUCAUAUGCAAGGUGAGGGAGUUCAUAGGGUAGGUGCCACCACACUAAAAGUCUGAUUCCUGAAUUGUACAGAAUGGACCUCCUGAUGAGAUGCUAUCUGCAGGAGCACAGUGAUUAGCUGGGUAUAUAAGGGGUGAGAUGACCUUUUAAGAAUCCUGGUCCCAAACUGUAUAGAGCUUUUACAUCAAUACUGGCCCCUUGAAUUUAGCCCAGUAGUAGCUAACUGGCAGUCACUGUUCUCUCUGUAAAGAGAUAGCAGAGUGAAAUAUACUCGGAGUCAAGCAGUGAUUUCAUGCUCUUUAUUGCAGCUCAUAAAACAGUGAAUUGAAUUUCCCCCAAAACCUCAGGCUUUAUAUACCGGUACAUUAUCUACACAAUGGGGUCCUGUCUGAUUGGCUGAUUCUGCUUCCCACCUGGAGUCUGAUUGGGCUGCUCCUGCAGGCCAAUCAGUUGUUGCAUUCUAGGAUCCUACUGGCCUAAUAGGAUGAUUAACUUCCUUCUGGGGCCUGAUUGGGCAGCUCCUGCAGGCCAAUCAGGUUGUUGCAUUCUAGAAUCCUACCUGUCUAUUGUUCUUGGAUCCAAGCUCAGUACAUAACACAGAGACAGCCCUACUGACAAACAGACAACUUAAUUUUUCACUGCAGGUCAUAUUUUAAAAGAAUUUAAAUGAUUCACACUGUCCACUGAAUGUCGCCUAGUUGCAUAGACUAGUCCUGAUCAGUUCCUGGAAGUCAUGGGGGCGUACAGAGAUUGCUCUUGUGCUCAAGUCCUGUUUGUGGGUUUCCCACAGGCAUCUGGUUAGCCACUGUGAGAACAGGAUGCUGGACCAGAUGAGCUACUGGCCUGACCCUGCAGGCUUUUCUGAACAAGACAAUUUUAGAGAGGUUCUGUUGCUUCAAGGAAGCUUCCUUGGCCUGCAGCAUACCCUCCAACAUUUCUUUGAUAAAAAUAGGGACAUCCUAUUUUUGAAUUAUGGUGCUGGAGGCGACUCUUGAGAGUCCCAUGGACUGCAAGAAGAUCAAACCUCUCCAUUCUGAAGGUAAUCAGCCCUGAGUGCUCCCUGGAAGGACAGAUCCUGAGGCUGAGGCUCCAAUACUUUGGCCACCUCAUGAGAAGAGAAGACUCCCCGGAAAAGGCCCUGAUGCUGGGAAAGAUUGAGGGCACAAGGAGAAGGGGACGACAGAGGACGAGAUGGUUAGAUAGUGUUCUUGAAGCUACCAGCAUGAGUUUGACCAAACUGCGGGAGGCAGUGGAAGACAGGAGUGCCUGGUGUGCUCUGGUCCAUGGGGUCAUGAAGAGUCGGACAUGACUAAACGACUAAACAACAACAAAUUCCAUAAUAAUAAGAAUGUUAUUAUUAUACCCCACCCGUCUGACUGGGUUUCCCCAACCACUCUGGGCAGCUUCCAAAAUAUAUAAAAACAUAAUAAAACAUUAAACAUUUUAAAACUUCCCUAUUCAGGACUGCCUGCAGGUGUCUUCUAAAAGUUGUCUAGUUACUUAUCUCCUUGGCUUGAGAGUCACAUAACUCCGUACCCUCCAACAUUUCUCUGAUGAAAAUAGGGAUGGCCUAAGGAAAAGUGGGACAUUCUGGGAUCAAAUCAGAAACCGGGAUGGCUUCUCUAAAUCCGGGACUGUCCCUGGAAAAUAAGGAUACUUGGACGGGCUGCUGCAGGUCAUUUCACUGACCAGAGCAGGAUGGUGGUGCCAGUCUUGGGGCUGUUCAAGAGCAGCUUUAGGUCAUGAGACAAAUGACCAAUGGAUACAAGGCAAACAUGUUUGUAACAUAAAGUAGGAUUCAGCUCUGAGAUCCCACCUGUGAGAGCUGAAAGCUUCCACCAGCCCCCUCAUUCACUCCCCCCCAAGAAGAAGAAGAAGAAGAAGAAGAAGAAGAAGAAGAAGAAGAAAGAGCAAGUUAUGCAGCUAAGGCUGUGCUCAGUCCUUCAAGGAGGAGUGGAAACUGAGAGACCUAUCAAGUCCCAAAUAAAAGCCAGACCUUUAUUUUUCCAGUAAUGGAAAACAGUGUUUGGCACCCACAGUGGAAUUUAGGGUUAUUCGCUCUAGUCCAAACCGGAAAAAAGGAAUCUCCCAGAAUAAAUAGAAGUGAGAAUUAGCCGCAUAACCAGAGUAACUGGAAAGAGUAGAGCGACCUCAGGAAAUAACUAGAAUUUGAGCCAAAGCCCAUAGAAGUGAAUGGGUGUUUCCCAUAUAACACCACAAUGUCAAAAUAGAUAUUUCUUCCAGAUUGUAUCCCCAGCAUUGGAACAAUUAGUAAAUAUUCCUAAUUAUAAAACACUUAAGAACCUAAAAAUGCAACCCCAGGGAUUUUUUAUUAAAUCAGAGCACUUAUGCAUAUAUUAGUUCUUUUAAAAAAGAAAGAAAGAAAGAAAAAGAAAAAGAAAGGGCCACAAUGUAAGUGGAACACUUAUUUCAGAUAUAAACGUGAACCCAAGCAGUAUUAAGUUUUGGAACAGGUCAUAAAUUUUUAGCUAUGAUUCCAGGUCUAUCCAACCUUUCUAGUGUAGGGAAAAUAUUUGGAGAGAUAUAAAAGACCCUGGAAUGAGCCCACUUUCUCAAGAUGAGUCUUCUAUAUGGUAGGGAAAUAAGCAAAUAUUUCCCACCCUCUGAAGAUUUCUGCUAAAGAUCCAAUACCCAGAGAAAUGACAUCCAGAUUCAAAUGGUAUUUCAGAUGUUAUUUCUGAUUCUUUGGCAUUCGAUCCAGAGUUUCCAUCACCCGCAGUGGCUCCCAUUGGAACUUGGAUAACUUGCAUCAGCACAUUUCUGAGCACAAUUCAAAGUGUCGGUGCUAACCUUUGAAGCCCUAAAUGGCUCCGACCAGAUAUAACUGAAGUAGCGUCUCCAACCCCAUCGUUCAGCUUGGACACUGUGGUCCAGCUCUGAGGGCCUUCUGGCGGUUCCCAGCAACCAGGCAACUACCUUCUUAGUAAGAUAGUUGUGCCCAUCCUGCGGAACACCCUCCCAUCAGAUGUCGAGAUAAACAACUAUGUGACUUUUAGAAGACAUCCCUGUAUAGAGAAGCUUUUCAUGUUUGGUGUUUUACUGUGGUUUUAUAAAUUGUUGGAAGCUGCCCAGAGUGGCUGGGACAACCCAGUCAGAUGGGUGGCAUAUAAAUGGUGUCUCCGAAAAAUUUUACACAUCACUUGGGAAGACAGGUGAACCAAUGCCAGUGUACUGGAAGAAGCAGAGAUCACCAGUGUCGAAGCAACGAUCCUUCAACAUCAGCUUCAUUGGACUGGUCAUGUUGUUUGGAUGCCUGAUUAUCGUCUUCCUAAGCGACUACUCUAUUCCAAACUUUAAAAUGGAAAGCUGGUGGUCAACAAAAUGCUGGUGGUCAACAAAAGAGGUUUAAAGACUCUCUCAAGGCAAAUCUUUAAAAUGUAGUAGAAACACUGACAACUGGGAAACACUGGCCUGCGAGCGCUCCAGUUGGAGAACAGCCUUUACCAAAGGUGUCAUGGACUUUGAAGAUGUUCAAACUCAGGACGAAAGGGAGAAAUGUGCUAAGAGGAAGGCACAUUUGGCAAACCCUCAUGGUGAUCAACUCCUGCCAGAAAACCUAUGUCCCCACUGUGGAAGGACGUAUGGAUCCAGAAUUGGCCUUCACAGUCACUUACAGACACACUGUUAAAACCGUGUUCAUGAAAGACCAUCUUACUCAGCUACGAGUGAUUGGCAAAAAAGAAUAUAAAUAAAUUAUUAUUGUUAUUGUUGUUAUUUUUAUUUUAAUAGAUUUGCUGUCAGGAGACUUCAUUUACAACAUCUGGAUUUACGUAUAAGCUAAACAAGCAUAGCUUAGGGUCCCACUCUCUUAGGGGUCCCCAAAAAAUUUAAAGAAAAAAACACUGGAUGUACAUUUCCAAAAUAUAAGAUAAAAAACAAAUAAAAUAAAACCUACAUACAGCAACAGUGUUUUGUGUUGUACAGGCUCCUAUGAUGUAAGUAAUGGGUACCGCCUGCUAGCCUGCUCCCUAAAAUAUCACUGGUUUGCUCAUUCCUAUAUAUAGGGUGCCUACAUUCUGUAUGGACUGGUUGAAUGGCAACAUGUGCAACUGGCUUUAGAUACCAUUAGGUCCAUAAAUGACCAUAUAGCAUAUUGAUGCUUUUGAACUGUGGUGCUGGAGGAGACUCUUGAGAGUCCCAUGGAGUGCAAGAAGAUCAAACCUAUCCAUUCUUAAGGAAAUCAGCCCUAAGUGCUCACUAGAAAGACAGAUCGUGAAGCUGAGGCUCCAAUACUUUGGCCACCUCAUGAGAAGAGAAGACUCCCUGGGAAAGACCCUGAUGUUGGGAAAGAUUGAGGGCACAAGGAGGACGAGAUGGUUGGACAGUGUUCUCGAAGCUACCAGCAUGAGUUUGACCGGGCUGCGGGAGGCAGUGGAAGACAGGAGUGCCUGGCGUGCUCUGGUCCAUGGGGUCACGAAGAGUCGGACACGACUAAACGACUAAACAACAACAGUAUAUAUUCAACACACAAAACACAGCAACAAUUUGUUGUUGACAAAGGACAGCUGGAUAUAUAAAGGGCCCCAUUACCUUCAGUAGAUUAGGGCCUCAUCAAACCUAAAUCCGGCCCUGCCACCGAAGUGGCCUGUUGCCUGCUGAAGUCCCAUUGAAAACAGCCAGAGGCUGUAUGGCAGCGUGCCAAAGUCCCACUGAAGAUGGCCAGCAGUUGCCAAACGGGAUGCUGAAGUCCUGUUCAAAAUGGCCAGAGUCUUGCAAAGCGGCUUGCCUUGUCAAAUCACUUCCACAGCCAUUGAGAAAAAAACAGCAGAUUAAUCCAGAAAGCCUCCGAAGAAGGAGGAUGUGGAAGCUGCUACUUGUUACAUGGCUUACGCUACGCCGCAUGAAUCAUCCUUAGCUGUAUAAUCAAGUAAUUGUAAUUGCUUUUAAUAAUUUUCGGCUAAAAAACUAUGAUAGUUGCGGACAGCUAUAAAUAACUGUAAUGAAACACGUUAUUUGUGCUGUGCCUUUGCAUGCACUUGUUUAGCUCUCUUGCUGCUAACUUGAAACAUCUGCUUCUUUAGAAGUCGAGAGGCAUUCCACAGCAACUAAUAGAGCUCUCAAAGUGACUCAUGUACUAAAUGGCAACAUUUGACAAGAUUCAGCAGUUGAUUUCUAGCGGGGAAGGAGGCUGUGGCGAAAUGGAAAAUUCAGUAUGUCUUCUUUAAAUAAUAAUCAUAAAAGAAAACACCCAUCUGUCUCACAUCAUGCUUAUAUAACAGCACACCGCAAGCUACCACAUCAUAUGGCAAGGGGGCAUCUUUAACAAUCCCCACUUCCUUUACCUCCAAAUCAGAUCCAGAGCACAAUAAGAACAUAAGAGCUCUGCUGGAUCAGACCAGAGGCCUCUGAGAGUAGAGGAAGAAAAUGGCCAUUGUGGCUAGUGGCUGUUGAUAGCAGGAUCUUCCAUGAAUUUUCAAGGGCCGCCUCUUUGCAUAUGGACCUAUCCGGACCCUGAGAUCAUAUUUUGAGUCCCUUCUCCAUGUGCCUCUUCCUUGAGAGGUCCAGAGGGUGGCAAUGUGAGAAGAGGCCUGUUCUGCAAUGGCUCUCUGUUUUUGGAAUGCUGUCCCCAGGGAGGUUCACCUGGUGCCUUCAUUAUACACCUUUAGGCACCAGGCAAAAGCGUUCCUCUUUUUUGACCAGGCCUUUGGCUGAUUGACAUCCAAUGCCCUUUAAAAAUGUGUGUGGGGGGGUUAUUGGGUGUGGGUAUAAAUUAGUAUUAGUAUUAGUAUUAGUAUUAUAUUUUUAAAGCCAUCUUCAGCUCAUCCGCUUUUGCUUGACCCAUAUAUUUACCAGUUAAUUUCACCGGGUCCAAGAGCUUUUCUUCAUUGUUCUGAGGCUUUGCCUUACAAUAUAAUAAAUAAUAAUAAUAAUAUUAAAAAAAUACCCUGCCCAUCUGGCUGGGUAUCUUUCCUUACCCGACAAAUUAAAACUUUGUUAAGCAAAAUCUCUCUUUGGAUGUUCCACAUAUCCGAUUAUGAUCCAAUUCAGUGGGUUAGAUUGGAUUUUCCCAAGGCAUAGCCACAGAACGAGGAGAAAGGCUUGCAGACUUGGAGGAGUUGAUCAGUACACAACACGAUCAAAAUAUGGGUCAGGCAAAAAAUGCAGAUGAGCAUCUUGUAGAAGCAUGUUCCUUACAUGCCGUGUGAACAAGUGCUUUAUUGCCUGCCCCGAAUCUGCCAACAUGCAGCUGUGCUGGAUAACACUAUGUUCUAGCAUCUGGUAUAUACAGAGAGAAAUGGAUAUACAGUGGUACCUCGGGUUAAGAACUUAAUUCAUUCUGGAGGUCUGUUCUUAACCUGAAACUGUUCUUAACCUGAAGCACCACUUUAGCUUAUGGGGCCUCCUGCUGCCGCUGCGCCGCCGCCGCGCCGCCGCCGCGCAAUUUCUGUUCUCAUCCUGAAGCAAAGUACUUAACCUGAGGUACUAUUUCUGGGUUAGCGGAGUCUGUAACCUGAAGCGUAUGUAACCUGAAGCGUAUGUAACCUGAAGCGUAUGUAACCCGAGGUACCACUGUAAUAGUUGGGAAUUGUUUGCAUUUUUAGUGGAACUGGGGAGGGAUGCUCUGCCCAUUGAGAUUAAGGAGCAAGAAGGAAAUGGGGGAACAGACCUAUGUGGAUAAGCUCAACAUCAGGAUUUCCAGAAAAUUCCACCCUUAAUCACAAUUCCCUCCCCAUCUCAUUUGUAUAUCACAAAAAUAGCAUAAUAAAUGUGGAAAAUAUCUACAACAUAUGUUUCAUUGUUAGUGGUCAGUGUACAAAUUCUUGGUUCAUGAAUUGGUUUAAAGAAUUAGGAAGGGGGAAGAGAGGGAGUGGGGAGUGGUGUGGGGGGUGGUUAUGUGUCUAUUCUUCUACUUAGUGUAUGUGUGGGGUUCUGUGUCAGUGUUACUUGCAUGGGUUCUCUUACUAUUCACUUGUAGUAAUCACGACAUAUUUUAAUCAUUGUCAUUCUUACAAAAUCACAUGGGCAGGAUGAUUUAUAAGUGGUAUCUUUUAAAAAAUAAAAAUAAAAAUGUUGUGUUAGGAAACCGGAAUUUCUGCAGCGUCACACCUGACAAUCCCUGCACAAACUCGCUGACUUGUGUUUACUGAGCUAGCAGUUUUCAGUGUGACAAAGACCUUAAAUCCCAACAUUGACCUGAGCUUUUAUUUCAAACCGUUUGCCCAUGCUGUCAUGGUACCUGGUAGACGGACAAAUAUUUGCAAGAAAACCACUUGCUUGGAACAGUCAGGCCUGGUUCCCCCCCCCCCCCCGCUCCUUGGUGGGUCCUUGCCAGCAUUAGGAGGACAUAGUACAAUAUGUUUCUAUGUGAGUCAUUUGCAGUGACAUAGAUGUGCUCUUGUGCAAGGCUCAAAAGCAGCUUUAAGUGUGCCAAGAUGGGAAUCGUGGUCUUGUUCCUUAAGAAGAGACAUUUUUAGGCUGGAAAGUUUUACAUUGGCUAUCUGUGUGUGAUAGGGUCUGUGUACCAAAGACCUCUCAGAUUUAUAAGGGGCGGGGAAUGAGGGUGAUCUGGGCUGAACUCUUCCUCCCUUUCCCCUGGCGAUCUAUUGCCCGUGACCACCUUGGCUCAUUCCUGGUACCAGAAUUGAACUAAUGACAAGAAGAAGAAGAAGAAGGAGGAGGAGGAGGAGAGGAGGAGGAGGAGGAGUUUGGAUUUGAUAUCUCGCCUUUCACUCCCCUUCAGGAGUCUCAAAGCGGCUGACAUUCUCCUUUCCCUUCCUCCCCCACAACAAACACUCUGUGAGGUGAGUGGGGCUGAGAGACUUCAGAGAAGUGUGACUGGCCCAAGGUCACCCAGCAGCUGCAUGUGGAGGAGCGGAGACGCGAACCCGGUUCCCCAGAUUACGAGACUACCGCUCCUAACCACUACACCACACUGGCUCUCAAAAAAGGGAAGAGCUAUAACCACUGAUGGAGGUGGAAUUUUUAUUCAGUUCACAUUUAAAGGCAAAAGUACCGAAUUCACACUUUAUGAAAAGCACAACAACAACACCCCUCGAAAUUGGCAUUUAUCCAAAUUUUGCAAUGCAGCUCUCCGGCCAAGUGGUGUGUACAAAAAUGCACCUAACAAGGUAAUGCUUCUGUAUGAAUAUGUAGUGAAAAUAACAUGCAAAGAUGGAUUCUUUGCAGAGGAAAUUGAUUUGCAAAAGUGUGGGCUUUAGGCAAAAUUGCAUCAAAACAAAUAUUAGGUUAUUUUUUAUUUUGUUUAAAUUUUCAUAUUUUAUAUAAAUGUAUAAAAAGCAAGGGACGCAGGUGGCGCUGUGGGCUAAACCACAGAGCCUAGGACUUGCCAAUCAGAAGGUCGGUUGUUCGAAUCCCUGCGACGGGGUGAGCUCCCGUUGCUCGGUCCCUGCUCCUGCCAACCUAGCAGUUCGAAAGCACGUCAAAGUGCAAGUAGAUAAAUAGGUACCGCUCCAGCGGGAAGGUAAACGGCGUUUCCGUGCGCUGCUCUGGUUCGCCAGAAGCAGCUUAGGCAUGCUGGCCACAUGACCCGGAAGCUGUACGCCAGCUCCCUCGGCCAAUAAAAUGAGAUGAGCGCCGCAACCCCAGAGUCGGUCAUGACUGAACCUAAUGGUCAGGAGUCCCUUUACCCUUUACCUAUAAAAAGCAAAGGCAACAACAACAACAACCACAGUUAUUAUUUAUACUCUGCCCACCUGGCUGGGUUUCCCCAGCCACUCUGGAUGACUCCCAGAAUUUAUAACAUGAUAAAACAUCAAGCAUUAAAAACAUCCCUAAACAGGGCUGCUGUCUUCUAAAAGUCAUAUAGUUGUUUAUUUCCUUGACAUCUGAUGGGAGGGCGUUCCACAGGGCGGGUGCCACAACCGAAAAGGCCCUCUGCCUGGUUCUCUGUAACCUCACUUCUUGCAGUGAGGGAACUGCCAGAAGGCCCUCGGCGCGGGACCCAGGAGAUGGAGUGACUCCACCUAGUCCAGCAUCCUGUUCUAACUGUGGCCAACCGAAUGCCUAGAGGAAACCCACAAGCAGGAUCCAAACACAACGACACUCUCCCUUUCCUCCCUUUGCCCCCAGCAAAUGGUAUUCAGAAGCAUUACUGCCUCUGACAGUGGAGGCAGGGAAUAGCCCUUGUGGCAAGUAGGUGUUGAUAGCCCUCGCCUCCACAGAUAGCCUCCUACCACUUUUCUGUGCAUUUAGCCAAUGAGUGAAGCCACAGUCAUGCUUGACACAUGCUACAGAGAAAUUUUAGAGUUACACAUCAUGUGCUCACAGUCUUCCACGCUGUUUAAAUUAUAGUAAUCAUUUCAAAAUUGCACCUAUUCAUAUAAAUUAGCACAUGCAAAUCUGCAUCUCAUUUUGCCCUCUUUUUUUGUAAUGUGGCCACCCCAGAGCCACUGGCAGUUGGUUUUAUUCCCAUCUCCACCUCCUUUACCAAUGUCUAUAACUGCCCAAAAUCAUACAGAGCCCAUGGUUACAGUGAAAAUGCAAAGGUAAAGUAAAAGGAGGGGACGCGGGUGGCGCUGUGGUCUAAACCACUGAGCCUCUUGGGUCGGCGGUUCGAAUCCCCGCAACAGAGUGAGCUCCCAUUGCUCUGUCCCAGCUCCUGCCAACCUAGCAGUUCAAAAGCACGCCAGUGCAAAUAGAUAAAUAGGUACUGCUGUGGUGGGAAGGUAAACGGCUUUCCACGCACUCUGGCUUAUGUCAUGGUGUUCCGUUGCACCAGAAGCGGUUUAGUCAUACUGGCCACAUGACCUAGAAAGCUGUCUGUGAACAAAUGCUGGCUCCCUCGGCCUGAAAGCAAGAUGAGCGCUGCAACCCCACAGUCUGGACCUACCCACCCAGGGGUCCUUUACCUUUAUUUUUUGUAGUAAAAAGGUAAUGAAACAAUGUUUGCCUCUUCUUAGACCCUGCCACGGUUAUAUAACAGAGUGAGGCAGGUGUAUCAGGUGGGAGAUGUUAGGGAAUGCAACAAGUGGUUGCUGCUGGAGCCUGGGAAGUGCCCCCUAAGAUAGUCUCCUACUCUCCGGUGCAGUAGAGCAAUGUUCUUCAAUCUUGGCUCCCCAGACGUUGUUGGACUGCAACGCCCAUCAUCCCUGACUACUGGCUAAACUGGCAGGUGAUGAUGGGCAUUGUAGUCUGACAAUGUCUUGGGACCCAAGGUUGAUGAGCACUGCAGUAGAGGGCACUGCCCCACCACCAAUGUUAAAAUAAUGAUCUAUUCCCGGUCCAGUACAUGAAACAAGGGCAUGAUCUCUUGUCUUUUAGCCCAGGCAGCAAAAUUUAUUGGGCCAAUGCUAGCAGACCUGUUGACAAAGUAAGAAUGCUGGUAUUCUACCAGAUAGAUAGGUAUCUUGAGUAUUACUUUCUAAAUCCUAUUGUGGCUAGGAGCUUGGCACACACAUCUGACAGCUGUUUUAGAGCUAGGAACGCACAGUAUAGGUAACAUCUAGCACAGCUGACAUUGGCAGUGGAAAAAUCCAGUUUAUCUUUGGGGACUGCUGGAAGGGAUUUGCAGUAAUUAAGGCCUGAUCCUGCAAGAGGAGUUCACCAGGGACUAAGGCUCUGCCUGAACAGCUCUUUUAUCAAGGUCACAGGCAUGUGUUGCCAAUGGCAGUGUGUGUUAGGGAGGCAUAGCUGAAGAUAAGGCAGCUUUCAGCAACCUGGUGCCCCUCAUAUGUUUGUUGGAUGACAAUUCCCAUCAGCCCCAGCCGGAAUGACAGUCCAAACAUAAAUAGGGCACCACUUUGAUGAAGGCUGCUUUAUGGGGAUAGCUCAGUUGCUCAAAGCUGACCUGCCGAAGGAGAAAACAAUGGAAAGCAACAGGAAAAGGUCACAACUCCAGCUUUUCAAUGAUGAGGACCAAAGUAGGUUUUGAAAGAUAUAUAUGGUGAUACAUAUCACAGCUGAUCAGAUUUCACUUACUUGGUAUCUAUAACAUUACAAUCCCAUUAGUCUUCUAUUCACACAUAACGCCUGCCAAUUCAAUAUUUGAAAUAUUUCUAAGACUGGGGGAAAAUAGAUCUAUAUAACCAACCUUAAUAUUUUUGUACAGAUUGUCCUGUUCUUUCUCCUCCAUUAAUGGGAGCUGGAAAGCAACAGAAACGUAUUCAGGGCUGGUUCCAGAAUAAUGGUUUCCCUCUGUGCGUGUGUUCUGGAAGGAGUCCCACGCAGGAAUACAUGGGGGGAAUGCAUGUUGCAUCGGAGCAGAACAUUUGCAGACAUCUUGCUGAGAUCCACGAGCAGGACUGGCAAACAAGGUCACCGGGGAGAUUUCCCAAAUUUCAGGGCUAUUUGAGGGGAAUUUGCUUGCUUGAGUGCUUUUUAUGUGUGGAAUCCAGCCUAGCGCUAAGUGAACAUUCCAUCGGCGCAAGCAUUUCUGCUUGCGCUACAGAAUGUUUCCCACCUGCCCCUCCUAAAUGUGCCCCCAAACCUCCAAAGCAGAUGUUGGGAGGAUGGUGGAAGAGGUCCCAUUGUGCGAGUGGAAACUUUUGAGAGGACCGGACAGGUUAGUUGAAUACUACUCUAUGUGUUUUGAGAAAGGCCUGUCUCAAUAGCACGGUUUUUAGGAGACGUCUAAAAGAAGGCAGGUGUGAUUCCUGCGGAACCUCUACCAGCAGGGAGUUCCACAAGGGAGGGCCUGCCACACUAAAGCAUCAGUCCAACAGAAGCUCAGGGACAUUGGGAACCACAAGCAGUGCUCAGUGAUCGAGGCAGAGCAUAAGGCAUCAAAUGGUCCUUAAUGUACACUGGACCUAAGCUAUUUAGGGCUUUGUGAAUUAAUGCAAGACCCUUGAACCUGGUCUGGUAGAAAACUGGUAACAAUUUCAGCUUUCUCAGAUGCAUUCUGAACUAGCUGCAUCUUCUGGACCAGAUACAAGGACAGCCCCACACAAAGCAUGUUACAGUAAUCAAAUUUUCCGAUGUGAGAGAGUGCCAUUGCUGCUGGCAUACUCACUUUGAUUGGGUAUCUCUUGUUAUCUUGCAAUAGCUACUCUACAGUAGCUCUACAGAACUCUACAGAAGCAAGAAAUGAAAGGAUAUUUAUAUUUAUAUAUUUCAGCCGAGCUGGAUAACUUGUGUGAGAUUAUUUUGAGUUGAGGAAAAGCUGUGGCUUAGGGGGGAAAAGUAAUCUAAGAAAAUUUGGAUUUGCUUAGCCAGCUCUCUUUUGUUUAUAUACUGGGUCUUGUAAGUAAGAAGUGAAAUAGAAGAUAAAUGGCUACUUUUUAACCAAAUAAUUGUUAUUACAAAACCCUUAAUUCAUCUGCUGCACACAUGGGCAAAAUCAGGAUUUAAUUUUUUAAAUUUUAUUUUCAUGCUUAAAGUAAUAUUUUACUUUUAAUGUAAAAUAUAUUAUGCUAUGCCCUGUUCACAAGAGCCUUAAAAUAUCCAGUGCUCUAUACUAUUGGAAACUGGUGGGGUUUAACUUGGAGAAGCCACAGUCAAUGGAAGGUUGGGUGGUCUGGAGCUUAUUGGACACCCAGAUAUUAUAUGGUUUCCAGAAAGACUGUGGUUUAAUUGUGGCCAUUUCAUUUUGAUUCCGAACACUGAACCAUUAUUACACAUACAUAUUUUACGGGAGAGGUAAUUGCAACUCCAUUGGCCUCAACAUGAUAUAAUUAAAAGAUUCUGGCAUUUGCAAUUAUCCUGCACACAUCUGCAGCUUUGUAUACUUUACACCUCUAUGAAUUAUACAUCACCCGCCCACCCCUAAUUGAGAUUAACAAGGAGAUGGUAUUGUCACACACACACACACACCUAUUGGAGGUUAGCAAGGAGACCAUGUUGUCAGUCAUUACGCCUCACACAUUUUUCAAUGCAAUGUUAACCUUGUUUAUUGAGAAAUAAAUCCCACUGAGCAUCGUGGGGCUUGCUCCCAGGUAAGGCGGCAGUCCUAUAGGCAAGAAGCUGGCAUAAAGCAAACUCAGUAGAAGUUAAGCUGCCAUAAAGUACAUCGUAUCCAAAGUGCAUUCAGGAGCAAGGAUACUUCUGGUUGAGCUGGCCUAAGCCUGGCAGGGGGAAAACAAGCUAUUAAAAUGGUGUUUGGGUUAUACACUCUUUUUGCCAGCUUAACUCACGCUGGGGUUGCCAGGCCAUGUGAUGGAUCUAAAUGGGCUUAGGAUCCAGCCUAUUUCCGCCCCCCCACUCCAUCUCUGGUCCUGGCUCUAUCCUGCCCCCUUUUCAGGGCUGACACCAGCUUAAGAUCUGUCAGGCAUGGGUUUGGGAACAUGCCUUCGCUGAGAUACUGUGUUUGUUGUUGUUUAGUCAUUUAGUCGUGUCCGACUCUUCAUGACCCCAUGGACCAGAGCACGCCAGGCACGUCUGUCUUCCACUGCCUCCCGCAGUUUGGUCAAACUCAUGCUGGUAGCUUCAAGAACACUGUCCAACCAUCUCGACCUCUGUCGUCCCCUUCUUCUUGUGUCUUCAAUCUUUCCCAACAUCAGGGUCUUUUCCAGGGAGUCUUCUCUUCUCAUGAGGUGGCCAAAGUAUUGGAGCCUCAGCUUCACGAUCUGUCCUUCCAGUGAGCACUCAGGGCUGAUUUCCUUAAGAAUGGAUAGGUUUGAUCUUCUUGCAGUCCAUGGGACUCUCAAGAGAUACUGUGUAGAGUCACCCUUAAAAGUAUAGUCAGGACAGGGAUCAGUGAGAGGCAGCAGCCUUAUCUGUUCUCUGGGAAAUCAGUGUUGCAUGAAGGAAGGAUCUAGCAGGGUUCAAGUCCUAUAGCAUCUAUCCAGUAUUCAGAAUGAAUUAUUGCUGCAAGUGAUCUCAAGGAACCAUGGGAUUGUUCCUUAUGUGUACAUCUCAUAACCUAACACUUCAUUCACUAUAUGAAUGGGAAAGGAGAACGUUUGGUAGGCUUCACUAUAGUUCUCCCCAGUUGCUCCUAAGCCAGUUCAUUUUUUAAAUUCUUCUUCUCUUUUACUUGCUGAUAAUGGCUCUUCUUGCAGCAGAUUCACCUGUCAUUCCUUGAUGAAGCAAAACCAUUCAUCCAUUGCACGGCUCUGACUGGUGCUGCGGAAAUACAUUCCCCUAGCAAUCAAGGCCCUAGCUUGGCAAAGGAUGUCUGAAUGACCUCUCAAGGGACAUGCUAAUGUGAAAAACAUCGCUGGGUCAUCCGCCACCACUCCAUCUUUGUGAGCAAACCCUCACCUGGAAAGCUCCUUAGAGUCACAUCUCCAGGCUAUCAAGUAUUUGAAUGUAAGCUAUCAUCGCUUGGUGAUGAGGCGCUUAAAAUGCAAUGGCAUAACAGGGAAAGGUAUAAGGCAUGCAAUGUUUUCCCAGGCCUAAGAACCUACUAGCCUGUAUGCCAUGCACAUGAUAUAACUAUCUGCUAAAAAAAUACUGCAUAUCUCCUUUAAUCCCAAAAAAUCCAGUAGGUGACUUUCUUGAGCUUCUUUUGACUGUUUUUUUUUUUGUAAUUUAAGUCUGCUGUGUUGCAUGGAGGUAUGUAGCUUCUUGAGUUCAGCAGUGCAACUGUAUACACCAGAUAAGGGUAUCUAACAAGAGAAUAUUUGUAUUUAUUUCUACCUAGCACUUUUUCUCAGCAGUACACUUUCUUCUGGCAAAUGCUACAAUGAAGUCUAAGGAGGAAGACAUUACAAGACACGUCUCCUGGUGAGAUAGUACUUCCCUUGGAUGUUGUGCAAGCUGCAAACCCAACAGCCAAAUGACAUCAUCUGUCUCAAAAACCGCAAUGAUGCAUCCUGGAAUGUCAUCUUGCAAUUUAAAAAUUAGGCUUAUAUGGUCAAGAAGCUUUCCUCGGUUCCUGUAAAUGUCCACACAUAUUUAAUAUUGUUUUCAUAUCAUUUGGACACUGUUCUCCAACACAAAUGGUGUGGCAUUGCGUUUAUUAAACAAUAAGGAUUUAUGGAACGUUCUAAAACACUUUGUUUUUUGAGAAUUAAAGCUCUUACAAAUUCACUCAAGCACCAAAUAGAAUGAAGAGUGCAAAUUAUUGCACAAGAAAGUAAUAGCUCUGGUGUAUCAGGACCAUGGCCCAUCUAGUUCAGGAUCCUACCAUGGUUAAACAGAUUCACUUGACAAUACCAGCAAGCAGGACCUGAACACAAUUGGAUUCUCCUCUGUCUCCAAUAGUGGAUAUGGAGCAUAGCCAUCAUGGUUAGAGAAAUUCAUGGAGGAUAAUCUGUGGCUACUAAUACUCUCGUAAGAAAGAAGGCACCUGCUUUAACUUCAAAAUGGUGGAAGCCGUAAAUACAAACUCUAUUAUAUUUAAUUAGAUCCUGUUUGAAUCUGCCUCUCCCACAAACCUAAAAACUGUAGCUAAGCAAUCCUAUACUCACAUAACUGGUAGAAAUCCCCAUUGAAACAUUGGCAAGUAACUAGGGUCCUCCUCUGAGGUCACAUCUAAAUCUGUAAUGGUUCUGCCAGGGAGUUAGUGGGAUGCCACAACUGGUUGUCGCAGGAUCCUGGCUACACCAGGACAUUUCAGGGUGGCCUGGAGUCUUUCUGUCAGCCUAGUUGCACACAUGUUCCCUGGAUGCUGAUGGUUUAUUAAUUUAUAUACGUACCGCUUAAGGCCAAAGAUACCCUAGGACUUGCCGAUCAGAAGGUCGGCGGUUCGAAUCCCCGCAACGGGGUGAGCAAGUAGAUAAAUAGGUACCACUCCAGCGGGAAGGUAAAUGGCAUUUCCGUGCGCUGCUCUGGUUCGCCAGAAGCGGCUUAGUCAUGCUGGCCACAUGACCCAGAAGCUGUACGGUGGCUCCCUCGGCCAAUAAAGCGAGAUGAGCGCUGUAACCCCAGAGUUGGUCACGACUGGACCUAAUGGUCAGGGGUCCCUUUACCUUUAAGCAUUUUACAAGUCUACAUAAACAUUGAAAUAAAAACAUCCACAAUUAAAAUGCAACACAAAGCAAUCCCAUUCGAACAUUAAAACACUCAUAUGCCAUAAGCAAUCCAAUUAAAACAACACAGCAAAUUGAAACCGAAGACGGGCUCAGAAAUCAAGGGAAUGCCUGUGUGGAUGGAUACAUCUUCAAAAGCCGGUGGGAUGCCAAUACAGAUGGGCCCCUUUUUUUUAUGACAGUAGGGAAUGCAUCUCAUAAUGCCUCUGCCAUUUGUGAAAAGGCCUACCUCUGCAUCACCACAAGACCAUUGCAGGAUGAAUCAUGUUCCAUUGGCUUGUGCUCCUCUUGAAGCAGAGCAAAAGUAUGUGAAGGGAUGCCCACAUGUUGAUAGUGCCAUGCAAUAUCUAACUUGGUGUUGAUUAAUUUCAGUUGGGAGCAUCAGAUUGAGAAACUGCUAGUGAACCCCAAGCAGUGGAACUCUCAACACUGGAACACUUAAGAAGACAGACGGUCGACAGCACUUUCUUAGAGUGAGUAACCAAAUCUUGUUAGGAGACCAGUAAGUCUUUCUUUCUUUCUUUCUUUCUUUCUUUCUUUCUUUCUUUCUUUCUUUCUUGAUCUACCUGGGAGGGCUCUUCAGUGGGAGGUAAGCCACAACAGAAGACUCUGGCAGUAGUUUAGUCAGGCUAUGGGGAGGGUAAAGGAAAUUGAACUUGUGCUGAGAUUUUAAAAAGUACCCCCUCAUUUUAAAGACCAAUGCCUCUUGUUUAUUUAACUUAAUACUAUGUUACAUUGUAUAGGUAUAAUCAGGAGCUGCUAAGUAUAAAGGAACUUGAAAUGUUACAAAGAAGUUUCUCAGGUGCAUUGAUGUGUGUGGUGUGUUAAUGUGUUGCAAGCAGGCCCUCCCAGCUCUUUCCCCAUUUGGACAAAUGGAUUAGAUUGUCACCAAUAUUUGAAAACACAGGAGCUUCUAGUAUAACAGAAAACAAACUAGUAAGAAGUUUUUCAGUUUUUGGAGAACUGGGGGAACAUCCCUGCAAAUCCCAAUUAUUAAAAAGGCUACUGUGAAGAAUGGAACCAAAUUAUUAGCAAUGUAAAUGUGGUGUUUUGUUGUAAAAGCAGCACAUGCUGGGUGCAAUUCAGUAUAUACUUACUUGUGAAUACGUCUGAUUGAACUCAAUGGAAUUACUUCCAAAUACACAUGUUUGGAUUGCACUUAUAAGCAUCCAAAUCCUAAACUUUUCUAUUGAUCUGGUUUGUUUGUUUUUGCACUGGUAUAACUUAUAGUCUCUGCCUAUAGGGUUGUUUAAGUAUUUUAAUUGUGUAUUUCAAUUAUGAAUGCUUAUACCUGAAUGCUUGUGCAAUUGAUUUAAUGCUUAGCAGCAUAUUUUGGCAUUAUUCAAUAAAUAAAUAAAUGAAUAAAUAAAUAACUUGACGUGCUAGAUUUUCUGCUAAGAAAAUUUGGUACAAGUGACUUAAGCUUAUCAGCCAUGCCUGUACAUAAGAGAGACUAUGCUAUAUUCCAUGAGAUGGGAUGAAAAUGCUGCACAGCUACACCCGAAUAAGAUUCUCGUUUGAAGCCAAAAUAAAAUUGCAUUCUGCUUGCAAUUCAGCAUGCCGACAGAAAUCUGAACCUGAUCUUUAUUCACACCAGGAUCCAGUCCAGUAACCACAGCUUGAACCAAACCACACAAGUCUUUAUCUGUUGAGCUCUUCAAUACCCCAGUGAAUGUGAGCUAUACCAUGAACUCGUUCUUAUAGAGUUUGUCAGAAGACUGCUAACUUAACUCCAGCUGUCGAUGACUCUUCAAAGAAAGAGAGUAAGAGAUAACAUUCCAGUUAAGAAGUUCCCUUGACUGGUUUCAAAAUAAUUCGUCCACUUACAUUUUCAGAGAUCACUCUAUUACUUUGCACACAGAAGUUUGAAAUGGUAAAUACUGAAGACAAGGGGAGAGGAGAGAUUCUUGCUGCAUGGGGUAGCUCAGUUUUCGACAACUUGGAAGAUUUUGAAUCUAAAAAGUGUGUGCAUUUGUGUGUCUUUCUUUUGUAUUAUAUUGUGGUAUAUAUGGUUUUGUGGCAUAUAAAUUGAAAAAGGGCCUUUAUUUUGUAGUUUUUCACAAUACAUUACAGCUAUGCUUUAGGGUU